GAUGAACGCUAGCUACAGGCUUAACACAUGCAAGUCGAGGGGUAACGAGAGGAAAGCUUGCUUUCCUUGUCGACGACCGGCGCACGGGUGAGUAACGCGUAUCCAACCUGCCCCCAACUAGGGAAUAACCUUGCGAAAGUAAGACUAAUACCCUAUAAUUUCCUCAGAUGUCAUCUGACGAGGAAUAAAGAUUUAUCGGUUGUGGAUGGGGAUGCGUCUGAUUAGCUUGUUGGCGGGGUAACGGCCCACCAAGGCAACGAUCAGUAGGGGUUCUGAGACGAAGGUCCCCCACAUUAGAACUGCGACACGGUCCAAACUCCUACGGGAGGCAGCAGUGAGGAAUAUUGGUCGAUGGGCGGGAGCCUGAACCAGCCAAGUAGCGUGCAGGAUGACGGCCCUAUGGGUUGUAAACUGCUUUUAUACAGGAAUAAAGUUAGCCACGUGUUGUUAUUUGUAGGUACUGUAUGAAUAAGGACCGGCUAAUUCCGUGCCAGCCGCCGCCGUAA
rnacentral:rRNA from 1 species